rnacentral:rRNA from 1 species
UACGUAGGGGGCAAGCGUUGUCCGGAAUCAUUGGGCGUAAAGGGCGCGUAGGCGGCCUUCUAAGUCGAACGUGAAAUCCCUGGGCUCAACCCAGGAACUGCGUCCGAUACUGGAAGGCUUGAAUCCGGGAGAGGGAUGCGGAAUUCCAGGUGUAGCGGUGAAAUGCGUAGAUAUCUGGAGGAACACCGGUGGCGAAGGCGGGACUCUGGGCCGAUACUGACGCUGAGGAGCGAAAGCGUGGGGAGCGAACAGG